rnacentral:tRNA from 2 species
UAAGACUUGUGAAAUGCUAAUCCACAUCUUCUGAAUGCAACUCAAACACUUUUAUUAAGCUAAAGCCUUA